UCAUAUGUCAGUCUGAAGAAGGGUCCCCGACCCGAGACAUCAACGAUCCAUGUUCUCCAGAGAUGAUGCCUGACCUGCAGAGUUAGUC